rnacentral:rRNA from 1 species
CAGUCGCCGCGGUAAUACGUAGGUGGCGAGCGUUGUCCGGAACUAUCGGGCGUAAAGGGCUCGCAGGCGGUUUCUUAAGUCUGAUGUGAAAGCCCCCGGCUCAACCGGGGAGGGUCAUUGGAAACUGGGAAACUUGAGUGCAGAAGAGGAGAGUGGAAUUCCACGUGUAGCGGUGAAAUGCGUAGAGAUGUGGAGGAACACCAGUGGCGAAGGCGACUCUCUGGUCUGUAACUGACGCUGAGGAGCGAAAGCGUGGGGAGCGAACAGGAUUAGAUACCCCAGUAGUCCCUGUCUCUUAUAC